UACGUAGGGGGCUAGCGUUGUCCGGAAUCAUUGGGCGUAAAGCGCGCGUAGGCGGCCCGGUAAGUCCGCUGUAAAAGUCAAAGGCUCAACCUUUGAAUGUCAGUGGAUACUGCCGGGCUAGAGUCCGGAAGAGGCGAGUGGAGCUCCUGGUGUAGCGGUGGAAUGCGCAGAUAUCAGGAAGAACACCGACGGCGAAGGCAGCUCGCUGGGACGGUACUGACGCUGAGGCGCGAAAGCGUGGGUAGCGAACAGG
rnacentral:rRNA from 1 species